rnacentral:lncRNA from 1 species
CUGUCGAGGAAGGAGGACUUGGCCUGGCAUGCUCUGAGCUUGAGCUUCCCCCAGGGAAUAGCACAGGCCGAGGAGCCUCUGCUGUCCUUGGCCAGAUGCAGCCCUCCCGGUUUCUGUGUAGAACUGAGCUCUCACCCACUGUCUCGUUUCCCCUCUGGUGCUGCCUUCCUCCCACUCCACUCCACUCCGCAACGCCCACCCUUCGGCUGCAACGCUUGCUUUCAUUGCUGCUUGGCUAGGUCUCCCUUCUCCUUCUCUUAGAAGCCCAGGAAGAUGCUGGGGCCAGUGGGUCCAUAAGAUCUUCUGGGGAGGCUAGCUAGGUAGGGUGGAAGCCUCUCAGCCCUCCAGAGUCUCAACCAGAGUCAACUCCUCUUCCCUUCUUCUUGCUGCCUCAGCCUGCCCUGGCCAUAGGACUAGGCAGAGAUGUGUUCUGAGCUGGAUAUCCUGGAUACAGAGUUGCUGCAGUUCCAACAGGACAGCGCCCUCCCCAAUGUGCUAGGAGGGAUCACUACAUUCCUCUCCCUCAUUUAUGCUGAGUGUAGAGCUGGGGACUGGGGUGGCGGGUGGGGACUGAGUGGGAGGCAUCUGUAGUCUUGGCCUCUUAACUCUCUUCCCUGGGUGCUUAGUGCUGUGUUUGGUGGACUACAAGUCCCAGAGUGCAAUGCACCUUGGCCUCGGUUCUUAUAGCUUUUAUCCCAGGGGAAGAGCUGCUCAGUUACAAAGAUGAGCUUCU